rnacentral:rRNA from 1 species
AAUAGAUACCCAGGUAGUCCACGCCGUAAACUAUGAUUACUCGAUGUCGGCGAUAUACUGUCGGUGUCCAAGCGAAAGUGAUAAGUAAUCCACCUGGGGAGUACGAUCGCAAGGUUGAAACUCAAAGGAAUUGACGGGGGCCCGCACAAGCGGUGGAGCAUGUGGUUUAAUUCGAUGAUACGCGAGGAACCUUACCUGGGCUUGAAUGCAUUAUGACCGUCCCGGAAACGGGACUUUCUUCGGACAGAAUGCAAGGUGCUGCAUGGUUGUCGUCAGCUCGUGCUGUGAGGUGUCGGGUUAAGUCCCAUAACGAGCGCAACCCCUAUUCUUAGUUGCCAGCGGGUAAUGCCGGGGACUCUAAGAAACUGCCCGCGUAAGCGGUGAGGAAGGUGGGGAUGACGUCAAAUCAUCACGGCCCUUACGUCCAGGGCUACACACGUGCUACAAUGGUCAGUACAAAGGGCAGCUACCUGGUGACAGGAUGCUAAUCUCGAAAACUGAUCUCAGUUCGGAUCGAAGU